ensembl:lincRNA
CGGCCGGAGCCGUGAGGCACGGACACGGCACUCCCGCCGGAAGUGGGCGGCCGUGCGCCCGGAGGAGCGUGGCGGUACCAGACGCUCACAGCGUGCGCUCCCUCCCGCGGACCAUGGCACUGGCCAAGGCCACGAAGGCGGUGAGGCUACUUCUGGGCUCACGGCGCUGUGGCUGACGCUGCUGGCCGCCCGCAAGGCCUGCGCGUCCAAGGCCGUGACGGCGCGCUUGGCUGCCAAAUGGCCGGAUACCCCGCUGCUGCUGGAGGCGAGUGAAUUUAUGGCAGAAGAAAGCAAUGAAAAAUUUUGGCAGUUUUUGGAAACUGUAGGAGAAUUAUCAAUUUAUAAGCAAAGAGAAUCAGCUUAUUCAUAUUACAGUUUAAUCCUAAAGAAAGCUGGACAGUUUUUAGAUGAUUUACAUGUCAAUCUUUUAAAGUUUGCUUUCUCUAUAAGGGCAUACUCUCCAACUAUUCAGAUGUUUCAGCAGAUUGCUGCUGAUGUACCACCACCAGAUGGUUGUAAUGCAUUUGUGGUUAUCCAUGAAAAACAUACCUGCAAAGUUAAUAAUAUUAGAAAGCUAUUGAAGAAGGCUACUUUAAGGCCCAGGCCUUAUCUAUUUGAAGGAGAUCAUAAAUUUCCCACAGACAAAGAGAACUUACCAGUAGUUAUUCUCUACGCAGAAGUGGGUACCAGAGCAUUUAGUGAAUUUCACAAAGUACUGUCUGAAAAAGCUAGAAGUGGUAAAAUUCUGUACGUUCUUCGUCAUUAUGUUCAGAAACCAAGUUCAAGAAAAAUGUACUUAUCUGGCUAUGGUGUAGAGCUAGCAAUUAAGAGCACAGAAUACAAAGCAUUGGAUGACACCCAAGCUAAAACUGUAACUAAUACUUCUAUGGAAAAUGAGAUUGAAGCAGAUGAAAUUCAAGGAUUUCUCUUUAGGAAACUAAAAGAAUUACAUUCAGAACUUAGAGAUAAUCUGACAGUAUUCCAAAAAUACCUGAUUGAGAGUAAUAAAGAAAUGAUGCCUUUGAAAGUCUGGGAGUUACAAGAUCUUAGUUUUCAAGCAGCUUCUCAAAUAAUGACCACUCCAGUUUAUGAUGCCAUAAAAUUAAUGAAAGACAUUUCCCAGAACUUCCCCAUAAAAGCCAGGUCUCUGACCAGAGUUGCUGUAAAUCAACAGAUGAGGAAAGAAAUACAGGAAAAUCAAAAGGAUCUCAAAGAUAGAUUUCACAUUCAGCCAGGAGACGCUUAUCUACUUAUAAAUGGCCUUCAGGUUAAUACAGACACUUACGAUCCUUUUAGUAUUUUAGAUAUGCUAAAAUUAGAAGGGAAAAUUAUGAAUGGCCUUCGCAACCUUGGGAUUCACCAGGAAGAUAUCAGCAAAUUUUUGAAAUUAAACUCAUAUGAUGAGAAAUACAUAUUAGAUAUUCGACAUUCUUCUAUUGUGUGGAUUAAUGACCUAGAAAAUGAUCAAAUGUAUGCUGCGUGGCCUGCAAGUUGUAAGGAGCUUCUGAAGCAAAUAUUCUCGGAGACUAUAUCUGUGAUAAAACGUAAUUUUCAUAAUUUGGUUCUGUUUAUUGAUCCUGCUAAAGAAUAUACCUUUGACUUUAUGAAACUUGCUGAAAUUUUCUAUUUUCACAAGUUUCCUCUCAGAAUUGGCUUUGUCUUCAUUCUUAAUGCAGAUGAUAAAGUUGAUGGAAGAAAUGAUGCUGGAGUUGCUCUUUGGAGAGCGUUCAACUAUAUUUUGAAGGAACGUAGUGUAUCUGAAGCAUUUAUUUCCAUUUUACAUAUGUACCAAAAAGUGAAGGAUCAGAGUGUACUCACUGUGGAAAAUGUGAAGAGUGUUCUCCAAAAUGAAUUUCCUCAUGCUGAUAUUUGGGAUAUUUUGGGAGUGCAUUCCAAAUAUGACAAUGGAAGGAAGGCAGGAGCAAGUUUUUAUAAAAUUACUGGCCUGGGUCCAUUGCCUCAAGUUAUUUAUAAUGGUGAACCUUUUAACCAUGAAGAGUUAAAUAGUGAGGAACUAGACAUUGUUGUUCUUCAUAGAAUGAAGGGUGCAUCUGUGUAUUUACAAAGAGAUAUCUUAAUGGGCACAUUAAAUGAUAAGAUGAAUGCAAUUGAUUACCUAAUGGAUAGGAACAGUGUUGUACCCCGUAUAAAUUCUGUGAUUUUGCACGCUCAACAUCAGUACCUUAAUUUAAUAUCUUCUCAAGGUAAAAUAACCCUUAAUAUAAUGUUCUAAAAAUAUUGAUCUUUAUGCUUCACUACUCAUU